rnacentral:rRNA from 1 species
CCUACGGGAGGCAGCAGUGAGGAAUAUUGGUCAAUGGGCGUAAGCCUGAACCAGCCAAGUCGCGUGAGGGAUGAAGGUUCUAUGGAUCGUAAACCUCUUUUAUAAGGGAAAAAAGUGUGGGACGUGUCCUGGUUUGUAUGUACCUUAUGCAUAAGGAUCGGCUAACUCCGUGCCAGCAGCCGCGGUAAUACGGAGGAUCCGAGCGUUAUCCGGAUUUAUUGGGUUUAAAGGGUGCGUAGGCGGCCUUUUAAGUCAGCGGUGAAAGUCUGUGGCUCAACCAUAGAAUUGCCGUUGAAACUGGGAGGCUUGAGUAUGUUUGAGGCAGGCGGAAUGCGUGGUGUAGCGGUGAAAUGCUUAGAUAUCACGCAGAACCCCGAUUGCGAAGGCAGCCUACCAAGCCAUGACUGACGCUGAUGCACGAAAGCGUGGGGAGCAAACAGGAUUAGAUACCCCUGUAGUC